rnacentral:rRNA from 1 species
AAUGACUCUCGGCAACGGAUAUCUCGGCUCUCGCAUCGAUGAAGAACGCAGCAAAAUGCGAUACUUGGUGUGAAUUGCAGAAUCCCGUGAAUCAUCGAGUUUUUGAACGCAAGUUGCGCCCGAAGCCUUCCGGCCAAGGGCACGUCUGCCUGGGUGUCACGC